AUGUCUCGCUCUGUUGAUGAGCAGUAUGAGACUAAAAAGAGUCUAGCGAGAUCGAUCAGACGUGUUGCCCGACGUCUUUUCCAGCUGCAAUCCUACGGGUUGAAAACCAUCUGGGCCUUGGGCUUCUUGGGCCAGAGGGGGAUGCGAUAUGUCCAGAGUCCAGACCGAGUGGCCGCUGAAAUUUGCAAUCAUAUAGGGUUGAAAAAUAAAAUAAAAAGUACUUUCAUUGGAAAAUGUUAUAAAUUUUUUGAAGAUAGAAACCAAAGAAAGUUUGAGAGACGCAUUUCACCGCUGCAGAAAAUGAACCAGAUAUUGAGGUGA
rnacentral:rRNA from 1 species